UCUUUAUAAAUGAUCAGUGUUGGGAGUAACUCGUUACAAAAGUAACGCAAUUGCAGUAAUGUAUUCCUUUUUGCUGUAACGCAGUAAAAUAAGGCAUUACUAA